rnacentral:rRNA from 1 species
GACGAACGCUGGCGGCGUGCUUAACACAUGCAAGUCGAACGAAGAGCGACGGAAGCUUGCUUCUAUCGAUCUUAGUGGCGAACGGGUGAGUAACGCGUAAUCAACCUGCCCUUCAGAGGGGGACAACAGUUGGAAACGACUGCUAAUACCGCAUACGAUCUAAUCUCGGCAUCGAGGAUAGAUGAAAGGUGGCCUCUACAUGUAAGCUAUCACUGAAGGAGGGGAUUGCGUCUGAUUAGCUAGUUGGAGGGGUAACGGCCCACCAAGGCGAUGAUCAGUAGCCGGUCUGAGAGGAUGAACGGCCACAUUGGGACUGAGACACGGCCCAGACUCCUACGGGAGGCAGCAGUGGGGAAUCUUCCGCAAUGGACGAAAGUCUGACGGAGCAACGCCGCGUGAGUGAUGACGGCCUUCGGGUUGUAAAGCUCUGUUAAUCGGGACGAAAGGCCUUCUUGCGGA